GGGGGGGGGAGGGAGCUGGCGGGAGGCCUGGGGGCGUAGCGGGCGCCCCGUAAAAGUGGGGUCGCGGACACCGCAGACUCGCGCCAAACAGUUGCGAGCCGAGCCUUGGCAGCUGCUGAUUGGACGGCGUGGGUGUCAAUCGGCGUGGUGCCUAGGUUGGCGACUGUACGGCGGACCCUUGAGUGACGCGACGCGGAACUGCAACUCCCAUGGUUCUCUGCGCUAUGAGAAUUUGAGGUGGGGGGAUAAACAUAUAACAAGAUUCAGGACCAUGGAGUAAGGAAGAUGACUUCUAAGAAGCUGCAUCAUGUUCUCGAACAGAACUACCGAGAUUUAACAAAAUGGUGUUGUAAAGAGGCCUGUGCCCAGGAAGUCCCAGGUUACCUGAAAGACAGCAUCUACAGGAAAUGAACGGAUCUAUGUCAAU